AAGUCGUAACAAGGUUUCCGUAGGUGAACCUGCGGAAGGAUCAUUACCGAGUCACCGUGUUCUGCACGGACUCCCACCCUUUGCAUACCUACCUGUUGCUUCGGCGGGACGUGUUUGGGAGGUCAUGCUUUUGCAUGUACCACCAGACGCGGUCUUUUUGCGUUGCAAGAUGCGAAGAGAAGCCUGCCCGCCGAGGGACCAAAACUCUUGAUACUUUUUGCAGUCUGAGAAUAAAAACAAAUCAAUCAAAACUUUCAACAACGGAUCUCUUGGUUCUG
rnacentral:misc_RNA from 1 species